CCUACGGGCGGCUGUAGUGAGGAAUAUUGGUCAAUGGUCGGGAGACUGAACCAGCCAAGCCGCGUGCGGGAUGAAGGUACAGAGUAUCGUAAACCUCUUUUGUCAGGGAACAAAGGCGGGGACGUGUCCCCGGAUGAGUGUAACUGAAGAAAAAGCAUCGCCAACCUCCGUGCCAACAGCCGCGGUAAUACGGAGGAUGCAGGCGUUCUCCGGAUUGAUUGGGUUAAAGGGUUGCGCAGGCGGUCUGUUAAGUCAGCGGUCAAAGCGCGGGGUCCACCCCCUGCCCGCCCUUGAAACUGGCAGUCUCGAGUUGGAGAGAAGUAUGCGGAAUGCGCGGUGUAGCAGUGAAAUGCAUAGAUAUCGCGCAGAACUCCGAUUGCGAAGGCAGCAUGCCGGCUCCACACUGACGCUGAGGCACGAAAGCGUGGGUAUCGAACAGGAUUAGAUACCCCUGUAGUC
rnacentral:rRNA from 1 species